GCACUGUUUUAUACAAAUAAAUUUUAGAUUGUCACUAUAACAUUCACUACAUUAAGUACAUUACAUUGGCUAACUGACAUGGCAUUGCGAGUGUUACGACCAAAUGGUCACCAAGCUGCAACUUGAGAGGGAUUUAACACCUGAACAAUACAAGCGAACUACUAAUUCCCGACGGAGGGUCUUCGAUCGAAACGUCGACGUUUUGCUUGUAUUUUUCAGGUGUUGAAUCUCUCAAUCCGCUGCUUUCUGGUGAGUGAGCUUGAUUAAAACUAGCUUGAAAACACACCUACGUUUAGGGCGGGCGAAGCCUAGGUCUAUUUUCAGGCUAGAUUAAAACUCAUUUGGGCGCCAUGUUGCUCAUUAUAGCACUCGUGUAAGAA